GACGAACGCUGGCGGCGUGCCUAAUACAUGCAAGUCGAGCGGACUAAUGGGAGCUUGCUCCCGUUAGUUAGCGGCGGACGGGUGAGUAACACGUGGGCAACCUACCUGUAAGACUGGGAUAACUUCGGGAAACCGGAGCUAAUACCGGAUGACAUAAAGGAACUCCUGUUCCUUUAUUGAAAGAUGGCUUCGGCUAUCACUUACAGAUGGGCCCGCGGCGCAUUAGCUAGUUGGUGAGGUAACAGCUCACCAAGGCGACGAUGCGUAGCCGACCUGAGAGGGUGAUCGGCCACACUGGGACUGAGACACGGCCCAGACUCCUACGGGAGGCAGCAGUAGGGAAUCUUCCACAAUGGACGAAAGUCUGAUGGAGCAACGCCGCGUGAGCGAUGAAGGCCUUCGGGUCGUAAAGCUCUGUUGUUAGGGAAGAACAAGUACCGGAGUAACUGCCGGUACCUUGACGGUACCUAACCAGAAAGCCACGGCUAACUACGUGCCAGCCGCCGCAGUAA
rnacentral:rRNA from 1 species